AUUACAGGUUACUAUAUACUGUGUAAAGAUGUAGUGCUUUCCUGGACUUUAAUGCCCUAUUUGCUGAUGUUCUUUUUCUGGAAAAGUUUGUGCACUUAAAGGAUGAUUUUUUUGGUGUCUUUAUAGUGGAUGUCAUCUGUGGUGCCAGGAGCCUGUCUGAUGGGGACUUCAUUGGCAGUAAGCCUCCUCUCCUUGCAAUGGGCUGACAGGUUACUGCUUGCAUAUGUGGAUGUCCAGAGCUCCAGCACACACGGAUACUCAAAGGUUUGCUCAAUGACUUGGAAAGCAGUUCAGCAGGCAGUACCACUGAAAUGGCAGCUUCUGUUGGUGGAAGAUGACACAGGAGAUAAGGAAGAGAAGAGAAAGGAGCAGGCUGAGGAAGAGAAAUUAUUCAUGAUUGAAGAUGGGGAGAAGAAACAAACAGCACAUGCUGAAUGCUGGGGAGACAAUACUCAGACCAUGGCAUUCGCUAGCUGAUGCAAGAACAGAUCCAAAUUGAAGUGCAUGGAGAUCUACGGACAAUAACCUUUUCAUCAAACAUGAAGAGCUGCAUGUCUUUUUGCUUCAAAUAGUCUUAUCCUUAGGCAAUGGUAAGUAGAAAAAUGUGUUUCUGCCUUGAAAAUCUUAUCACCUUGCUUUCAGAUUCUUCACUUCUCUUGUAUCUCUGUGCAUCCUUUGUUGACUGGGCAUGUACUGUAACAACAUUAUUUAUGUUAAGUACAGGAAAG
rnacentral:lncRNA from 1 species